rnacentral:rRNA from 1 species
UACAGAGGUCUCAAGCGUUGUUCGGAUUCAUUGGGCGUAAAGGGUGCGUAGGUGGCGCCGUAAGUCAGGUGUGAAAUUUCGGAGCUUAACUCCGAAACUGCAUUUGAUACUGCGGUGCUUGAGGACUGGAGAGGAGACUGGAAUUUACGGUGUAGCAGUGAAAUGCGUAGAGAUCGUAAGGAAGACCAGUGGCGAAGGCGGGUCUCUGGACAGAUAUUGACGCUGAGGUGCGAAAGCGUGGGGAGCAAACAGG